CCCUUAGAUGUUCUGGGCCGCACGCGCGCUACAAUGAUGAAUUCAACGAGUUUAUAACCUUGGUUGAAAAGCCUGGGUAAUCUUUUGAACUUUCGUCGUGAUGGGGCUAGACCCUUGCAAUUAUUGGUCUCCAACGAGGAAUUCCUAGUAAACGCAAGUCAUCAGCUUGCAUUGAUUACGUCCCUGCCCUUUGUACACACCGCCCGUCGCUCCUACCGAUCGAAGAGUUAGGUGAAUUGUUUUGAUCGAUAAGAUUUGACUAUGGUCAACUCUCGUUGUGAAAUUCUGUGAAUCUGACUGUUUAGAGGAAGGAAAAGUCGUAACA
rnacentral:rRNA from 1 species